rnacentral:rRNA from 2 species
UCCCCAAUUGACGGAAAUUCUGAUGGAGCAACCCCGCGUGAGUGAAGAAGGUUUUCGGAUCGUAAAACUCUGUUGUUGGAGAAGAAUGUAUCUGAUAGUAACUGAUCAGGUAGUGACGGUAUCCAACCAGAAAGCCACGGCUAACUACGUGCCAGCAGCCGCGGUAAUACGUAGGUGGCAAGCGUUGUCCGGAUUUAUUGGGCGUAAAGCGAGCGCAGGCGGUUUCUUAAGUCUGAUGUGAAAGCCUUCGGCUCAACCGAAGAAGUGCAUCGGAAACUGGGAAACUUGAGUGCAGAAGAGGACAGUGGAACUCCAUGUGUAGCGGUGAAAUGCGUAGAUAUAUGGAAGAACACCAGUGGCGAAGGCGGCUGUCUGGUCUGUAACUGACGCUGAGGCUCGAAAGCAUGGGUAGCAAACAGGAUUAGAUACCCUGGUAGUCCAUGCCGUAAACGAUGAGUGCUAGGUGUUGGAGGGUUUCCGCCCUUCAGUGCCGCAGCUAACGCAUUAAGCACUCCGCCUGGGGAGUACGACCGCAAGGUUGAAACUCAAAGGAAUUGACGGGGGCCCGCACAAGCGGUGGAGCAUGUGGUUUAAUUCGAAGCAACGCGAAGAACCUUACCAGGUCUUGACAUCCUUUGACCACUCUAGAGAUAGAGCUUUCCCUUCGGGGACAAAGUGACAGGUGGUGCAUGGUUGUCGUCAGCUCGUGUCGUGAGAUGUUGGGUUAAGUCCCGCAACGAGCGCAACCCUUAUUACUAGUUGCCAGCAUUAAGUUGGGCACUCUAGUGAGACUGCCGGUGACAAACCGGAGGAAGGUGGGGACGACGUCAAAUCAUCAUGCCCCUUAUGA